GGCGCAUUCGUCAAGCGGUUAAGACACUAGCCUUUCGAGCUAGUAUACAGGGGUUCGAAUCCCCUAUGCGCUA
rnacentral:tRNA from 1 species